CCGUGGUGUCUAUCUCGGGACUUCCUGCUCGCCAGCCUCAUCAAUGCUUGCUCCACGCGUGCAUUGCGUGGAGUCGGGGCCGGUUCCUGUGUUGUGUACCGUGAUGUUGGAAUCCAUUGUUGUGGCCGGCUUCUCUCCAUCGAUUGCCCCCACGGGCAGUUGCUGGACAACGUAGUAGUCCCCGUGAACCAAGCACGCUCCCUCCCAACCGGAUGUGGCUGCGCUGGGACACGGGUGCCUAUUCGAUCUCCCGGAUGCAGAAUAUUCGAUCGGCAUGCGGCUCUUAGCCUCCUUAUGCCUGGUUACGUUGCACCAAUCGAAUGACGGUCAUGCUCGCCACCGGUGCUCCCAGCCUUGUGUUGGUGACCGAUCGGGCGGACGUGGCCUCGUCAAUGGAUGCUACCUGGUUGAUCCUGCCAGUAGUCAUAUGCUGUCUCAAAGAUAAGCCAUGCAUGUGUAAGUAU
rnacentral:misc_RNA from 1 species